GCCAACGACCAUACCACGUUGAAUACACCAGUUCUCGUCCGAUCACUGAAGUUAAGCAACGUCGGGCGUAGUUAGUACUUGGAUGGGUGACCGCUUGGGAACACUACGUGCCGUUGGCAUAU
rnacentral:rRNA from 1 species